UGAGUAAUGCCUAGGAAUCUGCCUGGUAGUGGGGGACAACGUUUCGAAAGGAACGCUAAUACCGCAUACGUCCUACGGGAGAAAGCAGGGGACCUUCGGGCCUUGCGCUAUCAGAUGAGCCUAGGUCGGAUUAGCUAGUUGGUGGGGUAAUGGCUCACCAAGGCGACGAUCCGUAACUGGUCUGAGAGGAUGAUCAGUCACACUGGAACUGAGACACGGUCCAGACUCCUACGGGAGGCAGCAGUGGGGAAUAUUGGACAAUGGGCGAAAGCCUGAUCCAGCCAUGCCGCGUGUGUGAAGAAGGUCUUCGGAUUGUAAAGCACUUUAAGUUGGGAGGAAGGGCAGUAAGUUAAUACCUUGCUGUUUUGACGUUACCGACAGAAUAAGCACCGGCUAACUCUGUGCCAGCAGCCGCGGUAAUACAGAGGGUGCAAGCGUUAAUCGGAAUUACUGGGCGUAAAGCGCGCGUAGGUGGUUUGUUAAGUUGGAUGUGAAAGCCCCGGG
rnacentral:rRNA from 1 species